rnacentral:rRNA from 1 species
GACGAACGCUGGCGGCGUGCUUAACACAUGCAAGUCGAACGGAAAGGCCCUGCUUUUGUGGGGUGCUCGCGUGGCGAACGGGUGAGUAACACGUGAGUAACCUGCCCUUGACUGUGGGAUAACUUCAGGAAACUGGGGCUAAUACCGGAUAGGAGCUCCUGCUGCAUGGUGGGGGUUGGAAAGUUUCGGCGGAUGGGGAUGGACUCGCGGCUUAUCAGCUUGUGGGUGGGGUAGUGGCUUACCAAGGCUUUGACGGGUAGCCGGCCUGAGAGGGUGACCGGCCACAUUGGGACUGAGAUACGGCCCAGACUCGUACGGGAGGCAGCAGUGGGGAAUAUUGCACAAUGGGCGGAAGCCUGAUGCAGCAGCGCCGCGUGCGGGAAGACGGCCUUCGGGUUGUAAACCGCUUUCGCCUGUGACGAAGCGUGAGUGACGGUAAUGGGUAAAGAAGCACCGGCUAACUACGUG